UACGUAGGGGGCCAGCGUUGUCCGGAAUCAUUGGGCGUAAAGCGCGCGUAGGCGGCCAGAUAAGUCCGGUGUGAAAGUCAAAGGCUCAACCUUUGAAUGCCGCUGGAAACUGUCUGGCUUGAGUCCGGAAGGGGCGAGUGGAAUUCCUGGUGUAGCGGUGAAAUGCGCAGAUAUCAGGAGGAACACCGAUGGCGAAGGCAGAUCUCUGGGCCUUACCUGACGCUGAGGAGCGAAAGCUGGGGGAGCGAACAGG
rnacentral:rRNA from 1 species